CCUACAAUAUAGGAUCCGCUCAGUGGAUAUCUUCUAUAUAAGACCCUUCUCCCGAUUGACCGAUCAAGGAUGGACACAGACAAGAUAGCGGAGAGUAUAAUAAAUCUCACCGUAGAAAUCCUCUUUCGGAUUACUGGAGAGGACUACACAGUAGUGAAGAAGACCUCUAGUGAGCGCUGUCAGGACCCUGUGUCUGAAGGAUGGGGAAGAACCCUGAGCCUAAUCAUGGAGCCUCCACAUCACCCCCUGAUACAUGAGGAAAUCAAUAGAGAGAAGAUCCUAGAACUCCUCAACAAGAUGAUUGAGCUGCUGACUGGAGAGGUUCCUAUAAGGUGUCAGGAUGUCACCGUCUAUUUCUCCACGGAG